rnacentral:misc_RNA from 1 species
AAGUGACACCCAUUUAGCUAAACCCUUCAAAGCAGUGGAAUUCUAUGUGUUUAUUGUUUGGUGGGUAAAAUUCAAAAAUGGAUCAAGAUCAACAAUGGCUUAUCAACUGCUUGAAUGCUACGCUUGAUCCAAACCAACAAGUUCGUUCUUUUGCUGAAACUUCUCUUCAACAAGCUACCCUUCAACCAGGUUUUGGAAGCUCAUUGUGUAGAAUUGCGGAAAAG